rnacentral:rRNA from 1 species
AGUGAACGCUGGCGGUAGGCCUAACACAUGCAAGUCGAACGGCAGCACAGUAAGAGCUUGCUCUUACGGGUGGCGAGUGGCGGACGGGUGAGGAAUACAUCGGAAUCUACUUUUUCGUGGGGGAUAACGUAGGGAAACUUACGCUAAUACCGCAUACGACCUACGGGUGAAAGCAGGGGAUCUUCGGACCUUGCGCGAUUGAAUGAGCCGAUGUCGGAUUAGCUAGUUGGCGGGGUAAAGGCCCACCAAGGCGACGAUCCGUAGCUGGUCUGAGAGGAUGAUCAGCGACACUGGAACUGAGACACGGUCAAGACUCCUACGGGAGGCAGCAGUGGGGAAUAUUGGACAAUGGGCGCAAGCCUGAUCCAGCCAUACCGAGUGGGUGAAGAAGGCCUUCGGGUUGUAAAGCCCUUUUGUUGGGAAAGAAAAGCAGCAGGUUAAUACCCCGCUGUUCUGACGGUACCCAAAGAAUAAGCACCGGCUAACUUCGUG